rnacentral:rRNA from 1 species
CCUACGGGAGGCAGCAGUAAGGAAUAUUGGUCAAUGGACGCAAGUCUGAACCAGCCAUGCCGCGUGAAGGAAGACGGCCUUCUGGGUUGUAAGCUUCUUUUAUAUGGGAAGAAAUGACUCUCGCGAGAGGCUUUGACGGUACCAUAUGAAUAAGCACCGGCUAACUCCGUGCCAGCAGCCGCGGUAAU